GGAAAAAUUCAAUCUUUUUACAGACCCACAAAUGUCUGCCCAUAAAGAUUCAAUGUGAUUAAUGGGACUAUCUUUAAGUAAGAAAGUGAAGAGUAAACUGUAUAGAAAGGGUUGACUUACGGUUCCUGAUGAGUUUAAGUGUGAGAUUAGGGUAUUUGCUCUGGAAAGUUUGUUGAUUUGGGUGAGGUAAUCGAUUAUUAUGAGAGAUGUAGCGGGAUUUAACAUGUGGUAUUGGUUAGGAGUGAGUCUAAGGUGGUUAGAGAGGGGUAGUGUUUUGGGUUUGCUGAGAGAUGUUUGA
rnacentral:lncRNA from 1 species